GAAGCCGGGGCACCCUCGCCCUGAGAGCGUCGGAGCCCUGCGCGGCGGCGCGCAUUCCACCUCCGCGCCUUGUUCGCGGAGCAGGACCAGGGAGAGAGAACCGCCGGUCGAGUUCUGGGCACUGCGCCCGGCGCGAGGUGCGGGAUGGAGAGCAAGGCGCUGCUGGCCUUUGCUCUGUGGCUCUGCGUGGAGACCCGGGCUGCCUCUGUGGGUUUGUCUAGCGUUUCUCUUGAUCCACCCAGGCUCAGCAUAAAAAAAGACAUACUUACAAUUAUGGCUAACACAACGCUUCAAAUUACUUGCAGGGGUCAGAGGGACUUGGACUGGCUUUGGCCCAACAAUCAGAGCGGCUCUGAGAAAAGAGUGGAGGUGACGGAUUGCAGUGACAGUGCCUUAUGUAAGAUGCUCACCAUUCCAAAAGUGAUCGGAAAUGAUACUGGAGCCUACAAGUGCUUCUACCGGGACACUGACAUGGCCUCCGUCGUCUAUGUGUAUGUUCAAGAUUACAGAUCUCCGUUUAUUGCUUCUGUCAGCGACCAACAUGGAGUUGUAUACAUCACUGAGAACAAAAACAAAACUGUGGUGAUUCCGUGUCUGGGGACCAUUUCAAACCUCAAUGUGUCACUUUGUGCAAGGUAUCCAGAAAAGAGGUUUGUUCCUGAUGGUAACAGAAUUUCCUGGGACAGCAAGAAAGGCUUCACUAUUCCCAGCUACAUGAUCAGCUAUGCUGGCAUGGUCUUCUGUGAAGCAAAAAUUAAUGAUGAAAGUUACCAGUCUAUUAUGUACAUAGUUGUGGUUGUAGGGUACAAGAUUUAUGAUGUGGUUCUGAGCCCCCCUCACGGAGUUGAGCUGUCUGUUGGAGAGAAGCUUGUCUUAAAUUGUACAGCAAGAACUGAACUAAAUGUGGGGAUUGACUUCAACUGGGAAUACCCUUCUUUGAAGCAUCAGCAUAAGAAACUUGUAAACCGGGACCUAAAAACCCAGUCUGGGAGUGAGAUGAAGAAGUUUUUGAGCACCUUGACUAUAGAUGGUGUAACCCGGAGUGACCAAGGGUGGUACACCUGUGCCGCUUCCAGUGGGCUCAUGACCAAGAGGAACAGCACAUUCAUCAGGGUCCAUGAAAAACCUUUUGUUGCUUUCGGUAGUGGCAUGGAAUCUUUGGUGGAAGCCACCGUGGGAGACCGUGUCAGAGUCCCUGUGAAGUGCCUUGGUUACCCUCCUCCAGAAAUAAAAUGGUAUAAAAAUGGAAGACCCAUUGAGUCCAAUCACACAAUUAAAGUGGGGCACGUACUGACUAUUAUGGAAGUGAGUGAAAAAGAUACAGGAAAUUACACUGUCAUCCUUACCAAUCCCAUUUCAAAGGAGAAACAGAGCCACGUGGUAUCUCUGGUUGUGAAUGUCCCACCCCAGAUUGGUGAGAAAUCUCUGAUCUCUCCCGUGGACUCUUACCAGUACGGCACCUCCCAAACGCUGACGUGCACGGUCUAUGCCGUUCCUCCCCCGAGUCACAUCCAGUGGUACUGGCAGCUGGAAACAGAGUGUACCUACCAGCCCAUCCAAGCUGCCUUAACGACAAACCCACAUACCUGUAAAGAAUGGAGAAACGUGGAGGACUUCCAGGGGGGAAACAAUAUCGAAGUCAACAAAAAUCAGUUUGCCCUAAUUGAAGGAAAAAACAAAACUGUAAGUACCCUUGUUAUCCAAGCAGCCAAUGUAUCCGCUUUGUACAAAUGUGAAGCGGUGAACAAAGCUGGGCGAGGAGAGAGGGUUAUCUCCUUCCACGUGACCAAGGGUUUUGAAAUCACUUUGCAACCCGGCACCCAGCCCACCGAGCAGGAGAGCGUGUCUCUAUGGUGCUCCGCGGACCGAACUAUGUUUGAGAACCUCACGUGGUACAAACUUGGCCCACAGGCUCUGCCCAUCCAUGUGGGAGAGCUGCCCACACCUGUUUGCAAGAACUUGGAUGCUCUUUGGAAAAUGAACGCCACGAUGAUCUCUAAUAGCACAAAUGACAUUUUGAUCAUGGAGUUGCAGAAUGCAUCCUUGCAGGACCAAGGAGACUACAUCUGCUUUGCUCAGGACAGGAAGACCAAGAAAAGACAUUGCGUGGCCAGGCAGCUUACAGUCCUAGAGCGCAUGGCACCUACAAUCACAGGAAACCUGGAGAACCAGACAACAAGUAUUGGUGAAACCAUCGAAGUUUCCUGCACAGCGUCUGGGAAUCCCCCUCCACAGAUUACGUGGUUUAAAGAUAAUGAGACGCUUGUGGAAGAUUCAGGCAUCGUGCUAAAAGAUGGGAACCGGAACCUAACUAUCCGCAGGGUGAGGAAGGAGGAUGAAGGCCUGUACACCUGCCAGGCAUGCAGUGUUCUUGGGUGUGCAAAAGUGGAGGCGUUUUUCAUAGUGGAAGGUGCCCAGGAAAAGACAAACUUGGAAGUCAUUAUUCUAGUCGGCACUGCAGUGAUUGCCAUGUUCUUCUGGCUACUUCUUGUCAUCGUUCUACGGACCGUUAAGCGGGCCAGUGGAGGGGAACUGAAGACGGGCUACUUAUCCAUCGUCAUGGAUCCAGACGAACUCCCCCUGGAUGAGCACUGUGAACGCCUGCCUUAUGAUGCCAGCAAAUGGGAAUUCCCCAGAGACCGGCUGAAACUAGGUAAGCCUCUUGGCCGUGGUGCCUUUGGGCAAGUGAUUGAAGCAGAUGCCUUUGGAAUUGACAAGACAGCAACCUGCAAGACAGUGGCUGUCAAAAUGUUGAAAGAAGGAGCAACACACAGCGAACACCGAGCCCUCAUGUCUGAACUCAAGAUCCUCAUUCAUAUUGGCCACCAUCUCAAUGUGGUCAAUCUUCUUGGUGCCUGUACCAAGCCAGGGGGGCCACUCAUGGUGAUUGUGGAAUUCUGCAAGUUUGGAAACCUGUCAACUUACUUAAGGAGCAAGAGAAAUGAGUUUGUCCCCUACAAGACUAAAGGGGCACGAUUCCGGCAAGGGAAAGAAUACGUUGGGGAAAUCACCGUGGAUCCUAAACGCCGCUUGGACAGCAUCACCAGUAGCCAGAGCUCAGCCAGCUCCGGAUUUGUUGAGGAGAAAUCCCUCAGUGAUGUGGAGGAAGAGGAAGUUUCUGAAGAUGUGUACAAGAACUUCCUGACCUUGGAGCAUCUCAUCUGUUACAGCUUCCAAGUGGCUAAGGGCAUGGAGUUUUUGGCAUCACGGAAGUGUAUCCACAGGGACCUGGCAGCGAGAAACAUCCUCUUGUCGGAGAAGAAUGUGGUUAAAAUCUGUGACUUUGGCUUGGCCCGGGAUAUUUAUAAAGACCCAGAUUAUGUCAGAAAAGGAGAUGCUCGCCUCCCUUUGAAAUGGAUGGCCCCGGAAACAAUUUUUGACAGAGUGUACACAAUUCAGAGUGACGUGUGGUCUUUUGGUGUCCUGCUCUGGGAAAUAUUUUCCUUAGGUGCUUCUCCAUAUCCUGGAGUAAAGAUUGAUGAGGAAUUUUGUAGGAGAUUGAAAGAAGGAACUAGAAUGAGAGCUCCUGAUUAUACCACACCCGAAAUGUACCAGACCAUGCUUGACUGCUGGCAUGGGGAGCCCAAUCAGAGACCCACGUUUUCAGAGCUGGUGGAACAUUUGGGAAAUCUGUUACAAGCGAAUGCUCAGCAGGAUGGCAAAGACUACAUUGUUCUUCCCAUAUCAGAGACUUUGAGCAUGGAAGAGGAUUCGGGACUCUCUCUGCCUACCUCACCUGUUUCCUGUAUGGAGGAAGAGGAAGUGUGUGACCCCAAAUUCCAUUAUGACAACACAGCAGGAAUCAGGUUUGAAGACUGGCAUAAGGACUCAGCAUGAAGAACAAAUUGCUGGAUGACAAGCGCCUGGGAAGAUUGCAGUGUGAUAGAGUCAGGAUUCAGUAAAAGCUCACUGGCUUAUUGCAGGGAUUGGCAACAAGUGGUUCACACGGAAAUUCAGGAACAACAUUGCUCUUCUGAAAGCUAUUUCAGGAUUCCAGACGUUUUGUUGACAUUUGGAUACAAGCUUAAGCACUGGUGUGCCGAGUUGCCCUUCUGUUUUCUGAAGUUACUUUAAGGAUCAUCUUUCAGAAGGAAAACAACCUGGCAUAUAAACCACUUCUGAGCCUGUUUAUCCAGAGUGGAGGGUGAGGACACUAAUAGGCAUGAAAAACAAUUUCACGGGUGUUAAGCUGUAGCUCCAGGCUUCACCUUCAAGGAAUCAGUGUCUCAGGCUCUGCUAUUGAACAAGAAGAUGUUGAUGCCAGUGUCUCUGGGGAAGACAGGAGACUAGAUUGAAUAUUGCUGAAUUUGUUUUCUGAAGAAAUAUUUAGAAACAUCUGCCCUUCACUUUUCAUCUUUUCACCUGCACACCUGAUUAAACAUCUAUAAAAGUAACUGCAAAGUCGGAUAAUCACCACAAUGAGGACCAGAUGCAGAUGUGCCUCCUGGAAAAGGGAGUGGAUCGCAGUGGAAGAGUAGCACGUGGGGAUGGCUAGGAAAGGGAAGACAAAUAGGGCAGCCAGAGACUGUCUCAGGAGAAGGCUGGGGAGAUCAUUCUGGAACCUCCCCAGUCUCUGGACUAGGCCAGAAAGGUACAGGCUGAGCCAAGAACUCACGAAUGCCUCUGGUCAGUGAGUUAAUCAUUUAAUGAAUAAGGAAACUAUGCACGGGCCUCCAGGUUAAAGGUUAACGGGCAGGGUUUCAAAAACAAUUUCAUUAAGUAGACACUAAUAGAUUACAACUUCUGUGUUCCCACAUUAAAACAAGAAACUGGUUCAAAUGAACGAAUGCAUACUGGAUUCAAAAUGAUUUUUAAAAAAGUGUGAGUGAGCGGCUGAGGAAAGCUGAAAUCUUAAGAUAGAAAUAAAAGCACCACGUAGUAAGGAGCAUAGAGUAGCUAUUGGGAAGUUAAUUGUGUAUCCAUUGAUCUUCCCGAAGAGACAGUGGUUCUAUAGAUAGUGGUCCAGGGAGGGACUCUGUCUUCAUCCUUCUGUUCCUCAUAGUGGAUUAAUUUAAUAAAUAGGAGUUGAAUUCAACUCAGUGUCACACUGGCAUUAUGGUUGUACAUUGGGUAUGCAGAAAAAAAUCAGUGAAAUUGUUUAUAGUACCAAGAAUUCCCUAUAAUGGAUUUAACUCACCUGUACCUUCAAACUGAGAACGAAAAAAGGAUACACUCAUUAUGUAAUAAAAUUAAGGUAUGUGUUUUAAACACCUGGAAAGAAAUCCAGCUGUCAUGUUUCAACCCCCCAACAUCAAAUGGACUGAAGAUGGAUUGUUAAGAACCACUACCACCACCGCUACGGUAACAGCAAACACAGAGCAAACACCGUUCCAAGUAUUUUACAUAUUAAUGCACUUAAUUCUCAUAAAACUCUAUAAGAUAGGUACUCUUGUGGUCUUCAUUUUACAGAGAGAGAAACUGAGACACAGAGAGGUUACAUUACUUGCCCCAGGUCAUACAACAAGUGAGCAGCAGAAGCUGGAUUUGAAUCAAUGCACUUAGGCUCUAAACUCUGUGCUGUGGACCCUCACUUUACUACUCCCCUAUGGGACUGUGCAACGAGCUGAAAUAAUGUUGGAAAAAAAUACUAUAAACUUACUAGAUAGGGAGCAUUUCAUUCCACCUGUAGUAUUCAGGGAAGACCUUCUAAAGGAGGCAUGAUGUGGGAGUUCCCUGGUGGUCUGGUGGUUAGGAUUUGGUGCUUUCACUGCCAUGGCCCAGGUUCAAUUCCUGGUCGGGGAACUGAGAUCGCACCAGCUGUGCAGUGUGGCCAAAAAAUAAAUAAAUAAAUAAAAUAAAGGAGGCAUGAUGUGAGUUGAAGGACAAGCUGGAUUUCAGCAGGUGGGGAAGGAAAGAGGUCAUGAAGGAUGAGGUAGGUGUGCAUAGAUGGGUAGAGGAGGUGAAGAAAGGUGUUGCAGAUGACAGAAGGGAAUGAGAAGGAAUAUAAAUUCAAGGCAAUUUGGGGAAAUAGUGGAUAGACCAGUUUGGCAGGAGAUAACUUGGAAAGGUACAGAUGAUGGCGGAAUGAACUUGAUCCCUGAAGGCAAUGGGAAGCUAUUGAAAACUUUUGGGCUAGUAAACAGCAUGAGUAGAAAAUCUUCCUGGCUUCCUCCAGACCAAAACUGGACCUCAAGACUUGGAAACCCAUCCUGCCCAAUGACUGAAUUUAGUUAGAAGUUAAGCCCAAAUACAGAACAUGGGUUUCAAGGGUCUCAGGUCUCAGUUGUACAAUUAGGCUACCUUGUUUACUUUCCUUUUUCAUGUAAAAUCACUAUUGUAGAAUGAACUUAUUUACAAAACAGAAAUAGAGUCACAGAUGUAGAAAACGAACUUACGGUUACC